rnacentral:rRNA from 1 species
GACGGAGGGUGCAAGCGUUGUUCGGAUUGACUGGGCGUAAAGGGCGUGUAGGCGGUUGGUCAAGUCGGGUGUGACAGCCUGAGGCUCAGCCUCAGAAGUGCAUCCGAAACUAGCCAGCUAGAGCGCGAUAGAGGAGGGUGGAAUUCCUGGUGUAGCGGGGAAAUGCGUAGAUAGCAGGAGGAACACCGGAGGCGAAGGCGGACCUCUGGCUCGUUGCUGACGCUGAGACGCGAAAGCGUGGGGAGCAAACAGG